GCAAGCAGGAGGGAGUUGCACCCAGUUGCUUCUUCACUCCCGUUGUUUGGCAAGUGGGAGGAAGUGUCACAGCUCUUUUAUUUCUGCCACCCACAGCUUGGUGAGUAGGAGCAUUACAGCUCUUUUGCUCCCACAGUUCAGCAAAUUCUGAGUUCCUGUCCCAUGACCAAGAGGAAUGAGGAACAUGGACACCGGAGAAUGAGUAAGGCAGAGUAGAAUUUUAUUCAUCAGCGAGAGGGGACCUGAAAGCAGGUCGCCAUCUGUGAGGAUUAAAGUUAGGACCAAAUGCUGCUCAGAAAUUGUUUUAAUCUCAAAAGUAGUUGGCAAGUUUUCAGAGUUCAUUUUCAAGGCCUGGUGUAUGGGGCUGUUCUAAACUGUCAUCACACUCCUCAAGCCAUUAGCAACCUCAACAUCAGCAAGUGAUAUGCCCUACUUCUCCCCAGAUAAAUUAUGAUAUUGAGGAUGACCUUCUCUUCCCUGCUUCUGCCCCUGGACUUUGCAUACAACCAACUCUGCCCAUCAGGGAGGUGUAACUGUGGCUAAAACGUCAUGUGCUAAAAAUUCCUUCCCUAUUUAUCCUCCUAUGUCUUGCCCACCAAAUUUUUGUCUUCCUAUUUCUCUUUAAUCCUUUCCUUUUCAGUGAUUUCUUUCCUUUGGAACAUAAACAUAUUUCUUUACCUCAAAAGUCAAACCCCUGACUUGAUCCUGUAGUCUCCUCUAACUACCUUUCUCUUUCUUUCCACUUAUGCUUCUGGAAAUGUUGUCACAAUUUUCUGUCAUGUUUUUCUCUUCCCAUUGAAUUUUGAUUCUUCUGCUGUGUGGAUUUCCUCCUUGAAAUCUUCAGUGAAACAACUGAACAUUCAGAGCUAUUUCAUUUUCAAAGAUUCUCACAUGUGAGUAUUCCUCUUUCUGAAUAUAAUCCCCUUUCUAUCUCUUUAAUUUUGUUCUUCCAUCAAAACUUCUCUUUCAACACAGGCUGAGAUUAAAGUUUAUUUCUUAUGGCUUCUGAGACAUCUCUCCCUAAGAGAGCAGAAAGGCCUAUUCAUGUUAAUAUGUCCAAAUCAAACCCACUACACAGAUGUACUCUCAAACCUACAUCUUUAUUUCCUAUCUCAGCUAAUGAGAUAACAAUCUCUCCCUCUCCCAAAGUAGAGACCUUGGAUCCAUCUUUAAUUAUUUCCUAACUCUAAUUAUUAAAUCCAAUCAUACACCAAAAAAUGAUGUUCUGAAUACUCUCUCUUUCAUUUGUGCACUCCUUCUUUGUCGUAUCUCUCCUGGACUAAAAUAAUAGUUUCUUGCAGGGUGUUGAAUAGUGUCCCCUAAAAAAUCAUGCCCACCUGGAACCUCAGAAUGUGACCUUAUUUGGAAAUCGGGUGUGCAGAUGAAAUUAGUUAGGGAUCUCAAAAUGAAGUCACUGUAUUAUUAUUGUAGAUGAUUAUGUACACUAAGUUCAAGGACUGACGUCCUUAUAAAAAGAGAGGGUACACACACAGCCAACAGAGAGAAGAAGGUCAUACGAAGACACGCAGAAUUUGGACUUAUGCGGUCACAAGUCAAGGAGUGCUUGGAGCUACCGGGAGAUGGAAGAGUCAAGGCAGGAUUUUCCCUGGAAGAUUUGGAAGGAACAUAUUUCUCCUGAAACCUUGAUUCUAGCCUUCACUAAUGACAGAGAAUAAAUUUCUGUUCUUUUAAGCCACUCAGUUUGUGGUACUUUGUCUUACAGAAACCCUGGGACACUAAUAAAUUUCCUAAGUGGUAUACAUAACAUCUUCUAACAUUAUGAUUCUAUGGAAUGCUUUGAUAAUCAGCUAAAAGUUAUCGGCUGUCUCCCAGGAAAGAUGCACAAACAUACAUAUUCAACAUUUUGUGUUCAAUUUUUCAAGUUUCCAGGAUUUCCAGGGCCUCUCUACAGAUC
rnacentral:lncRNA from 1 species